ACCAUAUUAUACCGAAAAAGGAUCUUGUUUCUUAUACACCUGUUUUAGAAGAACACCAUGCCUCGUGUGAUCAUUAAUCAUCAUCAUCAUAAAACUAAAGGUGUUCCUAAAAUUUUAACUGAAAAUGAGCUGAAGAGGAUCUUCAUGCAAUUCGAUGUGAAUCGCGACAGUGUUCUUAGCAAAGAAGAGAUAAAGAAAGCAUUUGAGUAUCUUGGUGCUUUCUUUCCAGGCUUCAGAGCCAACCGAGGAAUUAGGUAUGCUGAUGCCAAUGGAGAUGGACAAGUUGACUUGACUGAGCUGGAUGAUCUGGUAAAUUAUGCUGUUAGACUUGGCUACUCUAUUAACUAGAAACAGCUUGUGAGAUGGAAAUUAAACAAGCAAGCUCCCUCUUAAAAUAAAAGUAUUUUAGUUUCUGGUGGCUGCCCUGCCAUGCACUUAUGAAUUAAAUGUGUUUGCUUCUUUAAUUUCUAUUAGAUAUAUGUAAGAAUAUAUGAAUGAACCAACCAAGAGUCAAGAGAGGAUAUAAAUACGAUCCUCCUGUGCUUCUCUUUUAUGUAUGGAUUUUCAAUUCUAGCUAAUGGGAAAACUUUGUUUUCUUAUUAA